UAACAAUGCGAGCAGCUUUUCAAAAAUAAACCUCCUAGUUUAGAUUUUCAUAAUCCGGAUUAAACGGAUUGUAAUGUUUAUUUCAAUCCGGUUUUGUUGUUCAGCACUGGUAUAUACUGAUCUCUGGUUGUCGAUAAUUCUGGGCAGAUGCAGGGCCAGCUUCGGUGCCAUAUUGUCUGCGCUAUCCGUAUACGAUGGCUUCGUUGCCAUCCUCGGCCUCGCAUGUGACCGCCAUAAACCUCCCGGCCAAAGUAUUCGGUGCUGCCACACGGGGACGACGUGCCCACUACUUCUGGACAUUUCGUCCGCCUUCGGAAAUAAUUGUUUGUCGCAGGACUCAACUCGAUUCUCACACCCGUGGUAGACGCCAGCGCUGUGUUGGGUUAACUUGAGUUUAUUCUCGUCGAUAUCAAUUAUUUCUACGA